CUGAGUGAGGGAGCAAUCCCGACCUCCAACCCUUUGUGAAUGCAUCAUGUUGCUUCGGGGCGACCCUGCCGUUCGCGGCAUUCCCCCCGGAGGUAAUCAAAACACUGCAUUCUUACGUCGGAGUAAAAAGUUAAUUUAAUA
rnacentral:misc_RNA from 1 species